GACUCGUUAGCUCAGUAGGUUAGAGCGCCGAUAUAAAAAUUAUCUUGAUCACCGGAGGGCGGAGGUUCAAAUCCUUCACGAGUCA
rfam:Bombyx mori DNA, contig: Bm_scaf99_contig35803, strain: p50T/Dazao, build 2, whole genome shotgun sequence.